rnacentral:tRNA from 1 species
GGCCCAUAAGCUCAGCCCGUUAGAGCGUCGUGCUUCAAACGCGGAGGAGCAGGAUCGAUUCCUGGGUGGGCCC